rnacentral:lncRNA from 1 species
AUGCAUACUGUCUGCUGCAGAGCGCAGUUAUCCACUUUGUCAAGUCAUGUGUCAAAGGAUAUUAAUUUCUGCGAUGACAUUAGGACAUGUCAAUGGACACAAGAGGAUGAAGGGAAACUCUCUUUAUCCGAGAGGAAGCUGUGGGCAUUGCUAUUUCCCUGGCUGGAAAGUGUGCAGUUAAUGACAGUUUUAGGUGAUUCUGCUGAUAGUUACAUGCAGUGUAUUAGAUUUCAUCCUUUGUCUUUACUGAGGAAAGUUUCUUACUGACAGACACAGGAGUGGAAAUCAAAUAAGGUAAGGUGAGCUUUGAUCCAAACUAAGUUUCUCUGUCUUCCUUUGAUGUUUGGGUAUAGAAAGUAAUAAC